rnacentral:lncRNA from 1 species
AUUCUCCUUUCCCUCCUCUCCAUCUCCCUAUUGCAUUGUGUCUGACUGAUUUUCAGAGCACCUUCGCUGUUUCCCCCUUCUCGUUCCCUUCUCAUAAAAUAUCUAGACAGGAAGGAGGUGGCUGCAGAGGCUGAACAAUCUCAUAUUCUGCCUGCAAUGUCAUCGUUUCUUUCCCCCAUUUUAGGGGGCUGAAGUUGCCCAGCAAGGGAUGCAGAGGAGCUGGAAAAGAAGGGGGGAGCUCUCCAGAGGCAGCUGCGGUCAGGGGCAGGGACUGCCGCCAGAUGUGCCUGCCUUUCUGGGCUUUGAUGAGAAAGGGGCAGCAGGAGGAAAUAUUGGGAGACAAAAGCCCCGGUUUAAAUGAUCAUUUUCUUUAUUUAACAUGGCAGCAGACACUCUCUGCGUAGGAUCAUCAUGCCGAGCAUAAACUGGACUUUCCCACUUGCCUGGCAGGAGUCACACAGAUCCCUGCGUGCUAAAUGAACAUCUGAGGUUUGAGAUGGGGCCCAAGAUGCUUUUCUGACAAGUUUCCUGGUGAUGCAAUGUUGCUGUUGGGGAA